rnacentral:tRNA from 1 species
GUCAGAAUAGCUGAGUGGUCUAAGGUGCCAGACUCAAGGCGUGGCUGCCUUCCUGAGCAAGUGGGUGUUCUCGUUUCUGUAUGGAGACAUGGUUUCAAAUCCCACUCCUGACA